UUACCGAUGAUGACGGAAAAAAGUAACUCAGUAGUUUUCAUACAGAGAGCUGGUGGCUGGUGCGAACCAGUUGAAAAUGCCGGGUGAAGUUCCUUCCUGAAUUGCAGGCUGAAAUAGCAGUAGGCCGUGCCGUAUGUCUACGUUACAGACAGUAAAGUGGAUCUUGCGAUCGAAACAGGGUGGUACCGCGGCUUUUCGCCCCUUUGGUACGCCCUUUUUAUUUUGUCAUGAUCUAAAUGGGUGGUACCGCGGAGCUUUCGUCCCUUAU
rnacentral:ncRNA from 1 species